rnacentral:pre_miRNA from 1 species
UGCCGAGGUUUUCCUUGGUAGUUUACUGCCGAAGUUCUCCUCGAUAGUUAACUGCCGAGGGACAU